rnacentral:rRNA from 1 species
GCUAACUACGUGCCAGCAGCCGCGGUAAUACGUAGGGGUCGAGCGUUGUCCGGAGUUACUGGGCGUAAAGCGCGCGCAGGUGGCUCAUUGCGCCCGGCGUGAAAGCCCCCGGCCUAACCGGGGAGGGUCGUCGGGGACGGGUGAGCUUGAGGGUAUCAGGGGCUGGUAGAAUUCCCGGUGUAGUGGUGAAAUGCGUAGAGAUCGGGAGGAAUACCCGUGGCGAAGGCGGCCAGCUGGGAUACACCUGACACUGAGGCGCGAAGGCGUGGGGAGCGAACGGGAUUAGAUACCCCAGUAGUC